rnacentral:rRNA from 1 species
UCUGGUAAUAAUGGCGAGAAGGUCACACCCGUUCCCAUCCCGAACACGGAAGUUAAGCUUCUCAGCGCCGAUGGUAGUUGGGGGCUGUCCCCCUGCAAGAGUAGGACGUUGCCAGGC